GACGAACGCUGGCGGCGUGCCUAAUACAUGCAAGUAGAACGCUGAAGCUUGGUGCUUGCACCGAGCGGAUGAGUUGCGAACGGGUGAGUAACGCGUAGGUAACCUGCCUGGUAGCGGGGGAUAACUAUUGGAAACGAUAGCUAAUACCGCAUAAGAGUAGAUGUUGCAUGACAUUUGCUUAAAAGGUGCAAUUGCAUCACUACCAGAUGGACCUGCGUUGUAUUAGCUAGUUGGUGAGGUAACGGCUCACCAAGGCAACGAUACAUAGCCGACCUGAGAGGGUGAUCGGCCACAAUGGGACUGGGACACGGCCCAGACUCCUACGGGAGGCAGCAGUAGGGAAUCUUCGGCAAUGGACGGAAGUCUGACCGAGCAACGCCGCGUGAGUGAAGAAGGGUUUCGGAUCGUAAAGCUCUGUUGUAAGAGAAGAACGAGUGUGAGAGUGGAAAGUUCACACUGUGACGGUAUCUUACCAGAAAGGGACGGCUAACUACGUG
rnacentral:rRNA from 1 species